UGUGUGUGUGAUCAGUGGUUCUCAACCUGU
rnacentral:piRNA from 1 species